rnacentral:rRNA from 1 species
UACAGAGGGUGCGAGCGUUAAUCGGAAUUACUGGGCGUAAAGCGUGCGUAGACGGUCAUGUAAGUCGGGUGUGAAAGCCCCGGGCUCAACCUGGGAAUUGCAUUCGAGACUGCAUGGCUAGGAUGCGGAAGAGGGAAGCGGAAUUUCCGGUGUAGCGGUGAAAUGCGUAGAUAUCGGAAGGAACACCAGUGGCGAAAAGCGGCUUCCUGGUCCAGCAUCGACGUUCAGGCACGAAAGCGUGGGGAGCAAACAGG